CCUACGGGCGGCAGCAGUGAGGAAUAUUGGUCAAUGGCCGGGAGGCUGAACCAGCCAAGUCGCGUGAGGGAAGACGGCCCUACGGGUUGUAAACCUCUUUUGUCAGGGAGCAAGGUGCAGGUCGGGAUCGGCUGUGAGAGUACCCGAAGAAAAAGCAUCGGCCAACUCCGUGCCAGCAGCCGCGGUAAUACGGAGGAUGCUAGCGUUAUCCGGAUUUAGUGGGUUGAAAGGGUGCGCAGGCGGAGGCACAAGUCUGCGGUAAAAUCGCGGGGCCCAACCCCGACCCGCCGUUGAAACUGUGUCCCUUGAGUGCGCGAGGGGUAGCCGGAAUGCGUGGUGUAGCGGUGAAAUGCAUAGAUAUCACGCAGAACUCCGAUCGCGAAGGCAGCCUACCGGCGCGCAACUGACGCUCAUGCACGAAAGCGUGGGUAUCGAACAGGAUUAGAUACCCCUGUAGUC
rnacentral:rRNA from 1 species